AGGACGAACGCUGGCGGCGUGCUUAACACAUGCAAGUCGAGCGGAAAGGCCACUUCGGUGGUACUCGAGCGGCGAACGGGUGAGUAACACGUGAGUAAUCUGCCCUUCACUUGGGGAUAACCUCCGGAAACGGUGGCUAAUACCCGAUACGACCAUUCCUCGCAUGAGGUGGUGGUGGUAAAGUUUUUUCGGUGGAGGAUGUGCUCGCGGCCUAUCAGCUUGUUGGUGGGGUAAUGGCCUACCAAGGCUUCGACGGGUAGCCGGCCUGAGAGGGUGACCGGCCACACUGGGACUGAGACACGGCCCAGACUCCUACGGGAGGCAGCAGUGGGAAUAUGACAAUGGGCGAAGCUGAUCCAGCAACGCCGCGUGAGGAUGACGCCUUCGGUGUAAACCUCUUCACCGAUGACGAAGCGCAAGUGACGGUAGUCGGAGAAGAAGCGACCGGACCAACGUACGUGCUAGCGACGCCGC
rnacentral:rRNA from 1 species